GCGAUUCAAAAUUUUAUAUUUUAUAUUUUACCCUUUACUCGUUACGACCUUACAGACAAAAUUUAAAUGAACGAAACGGGUCGAAUUAAAUAUUUUCCUUUUGUAUAUAUUUUUCUAUCGUGAAAUUAUAUACGAAAAAUAAAACGUGAUCUUGCGAGGAUAAUACAAAAUUCGAGAAAAUUGAAUUGAAAAUUCGCAACGAGCAAUUAUUUGCAAAUAAAAGAUAAAUAAAUAAAUAAAUAAAUUCGAACACGAAAUCUUACUCGUAAACGCAUUACACGAUCCACGUGUAGAAGGAUCAUACAUCACGGCCGGGUAACGAGGAAACUUGCCAUCAAGCAACGUCAAAUAAAGUACUAACCGAAGUAACCAAAGACAGAUCGCCCUGGCCAACUGAUGAUAAUAAGAGUAACCUUCGCGUUAAACAAUGUCAAGAGGAGAAAAAAAAAAAGAAAGAAAGAGAACACCGACAUAAAUGAACUUACAACAGAUAGCCAGCGGCGAACGGCGUGUAUCCAGGAAGCUCGAUUUGACUCGAUCCAUCAUGGCUGGUGUGUAAUUUUUACUCGUCACGCACCGACAACGAUCUUAAUAAAUGCAAGGGAAUAUUAAUCGCGACGAUUUUCUUUCGAACCGAAACUCGAAUUCGACUUCUCCACUCGGGGGAGGAGAUCCAACACGGGUUGAAAGUUUGAUAGUGUGGGGGGAAGGAGGGAUGGGAGAGGAUGAUGGACGAGAUUUCACGGGAUUUCGUUUCCGUUGGCCGUAACGAUAAAUAAAAUACAUACGUCGAACCGGUUAAUGAAUGCAUUUCGCACGAAAUUCCGGCAGCGGGAAUUAAUUAUGACCACGCUCGAUACCGUUCGAAUCCGUUGCUUUUUCGAUGACAAUUCGUUUCCAAGAAGGAUAUUGAUGGUCUAGUCUGUCCGAGCGAAUGUCCGUUGUUUCUUUGAGGCGAGGAAAAAAAGAAAUAUCGGUAUGGUUGCUUGAUCCUUUUUUCAUUGAUUCGACAUUAAGAGGGAUUAAUCGACUACGAAGAUGUUCCUUUUAAGUGAUACUUAAGAGGAUCGUGUUGCUUCUUGUGUGACUGGAUGUAACAAUGUUCGAGCGCGAAAAAUGGAAAAAUGCAAAUGGAAUUUUACUCUCCUUCGUAUUUCAUUGAGGCUUAUCUUUAUGAUAUAUUUAUCUUCUCGAAAAAUGAAACGUAAUUGUUAUUAUCAUGUUAAUCAAGUGGAAUCGAGCGUAUGAAAGAAACAAGUUGUUUCGAUGAAUACUUUGGAGUAUAUAUAAUAUCUUUCUUUUUAGUGGACGAAUCGUUAUUGAAUUAUAGAUUUAAUAUUUGAAUGUCUUAAAUUAAGUUUAAAAUUAUCUGAAUAAACGAGUAUACCAA